UACGGAGGGUGCAAGCGUUAAUCGGAAUUACUGGGCGUAAAGGGUGCGUAGGUGGUCUGAUAAGUUAUCUGUGAAAUCCCUGGGCUUAACCUGGGCAGGUCAGAUAAGACUGUUAGACUUGAGUAUGGGAGAGGGUAGUGGAAUUUCCGGUGUAGCGGUGAAAUGCGUAGAGAUCGGAAGGAACACCAGUGGCGAAGGCGGCUACCUGGCCUAAUACUGACACUGAGGCACGAAAGCGUGGGGAGCGAACAGG
rnacentral:rRNA from 1 species